UCUGUAGUAAAGAAAGGUGGGCACUGUAGUAAAGAAAGGUGGGCACUGUAGUAAAGAAAGGUGGGCACUGUAGUAAAGAAAGGUGGGCACUGUAGUAAAGAAAGGUGGGCACUGUAGUAAAGAAAGGUGGGCACUGU